GGUUCCCUCCGAAGUUUCCCUCAGGAUAGCUGGAGCCCAUUACGAGUUCUAUCAGGUAAAGCCAAUGAUUAGAGGCAUUGGGGACGCAACGUCCUCGACCUAUUCUCAAACUUUAAAUAGGUAGUAGGGCUCGGCUGCUUCGGUGAGCCGUGCCACGGAAUCGGGUGCUCCAAGUGGGCCUUUUUUGGUAAGCAGAACUGGCGAUGCGGG
rnacentral:ncRNA from 1 species